CUACGGGCGGCCGCAGUGAGGAAUAUUGCACAAUGGAGGAAACUCUGAUGCAGCAACGCCGCGUGGAGGAUGACGCAUUUCGGUGCGUAAACUCCUUUUAUAUGUCAAGAAAAUGACGGUAGCAUAUGAAUAAGCACCGGCUAACUCCGUGCCAGCAGCCGCGGUAAUACGGAGGGCGCAAGCGUUACUCGGAAUCACUGGGCGUAAAGGACGCGUAGGCGGGAUAUCAAGUCAGGUGUGAAAUCCUACAGCUUAACUGUAGAACUGCACUUGAAACUGGUAACCUAGAGUAUGGGAGGGGGAGAUGGAAUUAGUGGUGUAGGGGUAAAAUCCGUAGAUAUCACUAGGAAUACCUAAAGCGAAGGCGAUCUCCUGGAACAUAACUGACGCUAAGGCGUGAAAGCGUGGGGAGCAAACAGGAUUAGAUACCCCCGUAGUC
rnacentral:rRNA from 1 species